GUGCUGAACCACAGGGUGCCGGGUGAGGGGACCUGCGCCCGCCGCAGACUAAGCCAGUAUUUGAAACCGCUAUCAUCUGGGUCCUGUGCAGCACUUCCUCUCUCCGAUAUCUCCCUAGCUAGCGCAUGACCCUACCUUUUCUACUCAAAGCCCUCGAGGCUUGUAAACACCUCGCAGGCCUUGUGAAAAUCAAGUCCACAAAUCCCUCCGUCAGAAUUUUUAUCUUGGGAAGCGCAAGGUCAAAAGCAUCAAGUACGCUUUGAGACAAUUCUGGCUCUGUAGAACCUGAGGAUGGUAUAUCUGAAAACGAGGAUGGAUCAGUAUAAACUUGCUAACAGAUUCAUUUUUGGAGGGCCAGUUUUAAGCCGAACGGUUAGGGAAACAGAAAAACAAACCAGUGGAGAUAAAUGUUUAUUGACACUACAAAAGCUCAGAGACUUUCCUAAUCUUAAUCCUUUCUGGAUACCAGGAAUCACUUAAAAAUCUGUGUAUAAUGCCCCCAAACAUAUACAACAUGCAUAUUCAUACCUAUAUAUGACUGCUUGCGU
rnacentral:lncRNA from 1 species